GGGGAAUAUUGCACAAUGGGCGAAAGCCUGAUGCAGCAACGCCGCGUGUAUGAAGAAGGCCUUCGGGUUGUAAAGUACUUUCAGCGAGGAGGAAGGUGUUGAGGUUAAUAACCUCAGCAAUUGACGUUACUCGCAGAAGAAACACCGGCUAACUCCGUGCCAGCAGCCGCGGUAAUACGGAGGGUGCAAGCGUUAAUCGGAAUUGCUGGGCGUAAAGCGCACGCAGGCGGUCUGUCAAGUCGGAUGUGAAAUCCCCGGGCUCAACCUGGGAACUGCAUUCGAAACUGGCAGGCUAGAGUCUUGUAGAGGGGGGUAGAAUUCCAGGUGUAGCGGUGAAAUGCGUAGAGAUCUGGAGGAAUACCGGUGGCGAAGGCGGCCCCCUGGACAAAGACUGACGCUCAGGUGCGAAAGCGUGGGGAGCAAAC
rnacentral:rRNA from 1 species